UAGGUCGACCCGCUGAAUUUAAGCAUAUCACUAAGCGGAGGAAAAGAAACUAACCAGGAUUCCCCUAGUAACGGCGAGUGAAGAGGGAAUAGCCCAGCACCGAAGCCUGCGGUAGGUUUACUGCUAGGCAAUGUGGUGUUUGGGUCGACUCGCGGGAUUGCCACUCCACUCGAAGUCCAGCACUGAGUAUGGUUCCCUGGAUUUGGCCCAGAGAGGGUGAAAGGCCCGUGCGAGUGGAGGUUCAGACAUGUGAGGCAAUUCACCAGGUCGACCUUCGAGUCGGGUUGUUUGGGAAUGCAGCCCAAAGUGGGUGGUAAACUCCAUCCAAGGCUAAAUACAAGCACGAGUCCGAUAGCGAACAAGUACCGUGAGGGAAAGUUGAAAAGUACUUUGAAGAGAGAGUAAACAGUACGUGAAACCGCAUAGAGGUAAACGGGUGGCGUCAAGCUGCAAGCCUAGAGGAUUCAGUUGAUCGGUGUGUAUGCGCGCCUGGCGUGUCUGUCGGACGGACAGUCCACUGCGAAAUGGUGGGCCUGCCUUUCUUCUUGGGGGGCAGGAUCGGUGUUCCGGGUGGUUGCCGGUGCCGGCUGUUCUGUCUGUCUGCGCAGUGUGGAUGGACCGGUCAAUGCACUUCCUCUAUUUGGUGAGCACCACGACUGGUGGAACUGCCAGUCUGCCAUAGUCAAGUCGGAUUUGGUCGGUGGCUCUCCUCGUCGUCUUGGUGUGGGGGGGUCAUCGGCUGAGUUUCGAUCACAGGCGAACUCAGUGAGCGGCGCGUGUAGGCAUUCGCUUGCACACGUGUUAUCGAGCACUGGUCGUCAACGGGUCUGCCUGUCGGUUGUUGUGUACAAUCGCCGGCGGGUGUCCUGGUGGGCUAUGGUGGUAUGAAUAACUGUGCAGGGCACCAGAGUUGUCGGUCUCUAGUUUCCGUCUCGUGCGCACACUGUAUGUGGGCGUGGGGUGUUGCUGUAGGCUGCCAAUUGCUGGGUCUGAUCGUCGUGUUGCCUGCGCAAAGUGGGCCCGGCGGUGGUCUGGUGUUGGGUGGUCUGCAUUUGUGUGUGAUGCCUCCUGUGCGAGCCGGCGUGGACCAAACAGUCUGUGGUGUUGUGGUAGACGAGCUACCCGACCCGUCUUGAAACACGGACCAAGGAGUUUAUCAUGCACGCGAGUCAAUGGGUCCACCGAAACCCAAAGGCGCAGUGAAAGUAAAGUCUCGACUUGUUCUCGGGAUGUGGUGAGAUGCCACUGUUUCUCGCACCUCCCCUGGCGCGCGCAGCUUGCUGUGUGUGUGUUUGUGGGUCUGCAGCACCAGGCAAAAGAGCAGUGGCCGCAUCACCGGCCCGUCCCAUGAUGUGGUCGUUGGAAAGGCGUGGAUCGUUUUGUGUGGUCUGCGUUGGAACCGGCGCGUCAUCGGGGCGGAGCAAGAGCGUGCACGAUAAGACCCGAAAGAUGGUGAACUAUGCUUGCGUAGGUUGAAGCCAGAGGAAACUCUGGUGGAGGACCGCAGCGAUUCUGACGUGCAAAUCGAUCGUCAAACGCGAGUAUAGGGGCGAAAGACUAAUCGAACCAUCUAGUAGCUGGUUCCCUCCGAAGUUUCCCUCAGGAUAGCUGGCACUCAUUCGCAUGAUCAGUUUUAUCCGGUAAAGCGAAUGAUUAGAGGUACUGGGUUCGAAACGAGCUCAACCUAUUCUCAAACUUUAAAUGGGUGAGAUGCCCGGCUCGCUUUAUAGGAGUCGGGCGCUGAAUGUGCGAGUGCCAAGUGGGCCAUUUUUGGUAAGCAGAACUGGCGCUGUGGGAUGAACCAAACGCUCGGUUAAGGUGCCUAACGCUGACGCUCAUGAGAUACCACAAAAGGUGUUGGUUAAUAUAGACAGCAGGACGGUGGCCAUGGAAGUCGGCAUCCGCUAAGGAGUGUGUAACAACUCACCUGCCGAAUUGACCAGCCCUGAAAAUGGAUGGCGCUGGAGCGUCGGACCUAUACCGGGCCGUCACCGCAAGCUGGAUCGCUGGCUCUGUGUGUGUUUGGUGUGAGCAGCGUAUGGCUGGUUGCGUGAAUAACAAUCGGUCGCUGUCUCUUGAAGUCAUGAUCCAGGCAAGGAGGCGGUGGCGAGUAGGAGGGUCGCCGUGGUGAGCGUGGAAGCCUCGGACGUGAGUCUGGGUGGAGCCGCCACGGGUGCAGAUCUUGGUGGUAGUAGCAAAUAUUCAAGUGAGAACCUUGAAGACUGAAGUGGAGAAGGGUUCC
rnacentral:rRNA from 1 species